ACAUUUCCUAAUUGAAUUAGCCUCUGCCCUCGUUAACUCCGUUCCCGGUUCCCUGCGAGGAGCCACCGCCCGCAGGAGCCGUCCCGGGGCCGGGGGCUGCUGGCAGCGGGGGGGCUGCGCUUGGUUCCCCCGGCCCUGCCCGGCCCUGCCCGGGUACCGCUCCCCGCCUGCUCCCCGGCCCCUCGGGGCUCCCCGAACCCCCCCCCGUCCCCUGCCGGCUCCCACCUGGUUGUUCUUGCAGAGAUCUGCCCACAUGCUGGUGCCGUCGCCUCCCCGCAUGAGCACAUGUCAGUCCGAGUCAACUUUCCCUGGGACUUGCCUGCCGCGGUCGCCCCGCUCUCUGCUCUCUCCCUCCUCUCUCCCCGCAGAGGUGAUGGGGCUCAGCCCCGCUGCUGCUGCUGCUGCUGCCGAGAGCCCGCACCGCCGAGCGCUGCCGGAGCCGGAGCCGAGCGGGAUCCUGCCCGGGUGCCACCUGCCAGGAGAGGAGGAGGCUGACGAGCGCGCUGGAGCAAUUUAUAGGCACCCAAAAGCGCAGGGGAAAGGGGAGCUGCUUUGGCAUCUCAUUCCAGCAUCUGCUCUGCUCUUCCCACUCACAGAGAGUUUGGCAUUACUCUGGCAGUGUGGGAAAUAUAUAUUUUUUUUCCUCCCCCCCUCCCUUUUCUCUCCCCUCCCCGGUCCCCCCCCCCCCUCCUCCCUCCGUGAACGGAUGAGCAGUGAAAUCGUGAGGCUCACUCGCUAGCUGCAUCGCCUGAUGACAGCUCUUUCUGGAGCUAGACCGAAAGGAAGAGAUCUGCUUAGCAGCCUCUGGGCACCCUUCAGGUCACCGAUCGAGAAUUAAAAGGUCAAUCCACCUCCUGCUUAACGCAUCCCCGAGGCCACCCUGCCAUGUUAGCACUUGCUGGGAAAUAUCACUGCAAACGCGGGGAUGCUUUACAGUUACCGGGUGUCCAAGUGGAAGUUAUUUGACAAUAUGCCUCCCAGCACGCGCGGUAGCAGACAUCAGCAUCUCUCACAGUGUCGGGUCUCCCUUGUCCCCCCUCCCCAAUUGCAAUUAUCAAUGCGGAGAAGUUUCUGUUCAUAAAGUGAAGGUGACGUGCACAUAACCGGCUGCAGUGUUUCCCGGUGUCACAGCCAGCCACUGCUUUGCUAACAAAGUGACACAAGGCAAAGAGUUCCCUUUCGUUCAGAAGCCGAAGGAAAGCGUGGGGCAUCUGCAGAUCAACAGAUGCCUGGACCUGAGAGAAAGCAUCUCUCCGGCUUAACUUCACGGCAGCAAAGUGUUUUGUUGAGUCUUUUUUUUUUUUUUUUUCUUCCUUUGGUGAAAGGUUUCUCCUCCCCCAAGAGCUGGUGGGCACCUCUGUGACAGGGUAGGAAGGUGAAUGUGCAAUAUUAGUGGCAUUUCUCCGGAGAAAAUAUUAAGCAACUUGUCCUGCUCACAAAUACACAAGGUACACAAAGAGCUGUUUAAAUAAACAAACAGAAUUGAUUCCUAAAUCAUACUUCUGUAUUCAGGAGCAAUGGACGUCAAUCAAACGUGGGUGACAUUUGCCUGUCAAUACAGGGAUGAUGGCUGGAAAGAGUGUGACUUAUUACAGCAAGGCAGGAAUCCGAAAUGAGCAAUGGCAGCAAAUAGGACAGCAACCAAAUAAUAGCAUCUCCAGUGAUGAUCAGAGGGCUGUGAUCUUGUCUUGGAUUUUAUUAGCACGAAUCCCCUCUCCCCUUACCCGUUCUCUUUUCUUUCUUUUCUAUUCCACAACACAAUAAGGUCAAACAAGCAGGCAGUGGGAAACAAAGAUUCAUUGAUUCUUCCUUUUAAGCAGAAAUGUCAGCAGCUCCUUUUGCUCUUUCCUGAGAGACUCAAAGGCAGUGAGUGUGUCCGCACUGUGCAGAGAUGGGCCAGCCCAGCUCCUUAUCUCCCCACAAAACUCCUGAUAAAGCUCCCAUUUCACACAUUCGUAAAUAUCUCCCCCCACCCACCCUUUUCCUUUCUUUAUUAUUUUUUUUUCUUUAAUGUUCUGUCUUUAAAAAAUUCUUUAUCUGGUACUGACACAAGCUCGCCCGUUCCCUUAGCAAAGGGCUGCCGCUCAAGACCCAGGAAGGCAGCUGAGCACAUUUGGAGGAUUAUAUUUAUAUCUCAUCGCUCUCUUCACCCCACAGGAGAGGGCUUUCAACACCGCUCUUCUGUCCUUGCAGGAAGAAAAAAAGCUGUGCCAGGAGAGACAGGUCAGUCUCAGGCUGGAGCUGGGCCCUUGGGGUGCUGUGUUUAGUCAUCUCGAACCCGGGAGGUUUUCAUGACAUCAGGACGUGCGUAAACCUCCACUGCAACGGCUGUGUGACAUGCUGGGGAGGCAGCAAUUCUUCUCCUGUCCUCAAAGAGACACAAACCCAUCGCGCUCUGUCAAGCCAUGGUGACUCCGGGUGGCACCUGGGCACUGGCUUGCCGAGCAUACCCUUACUCCAGCUAGGAUAAGCCUGCUUCUUAAAGCAAGGUCCUGCUUACCUUCUUACUGCUUAGUUUUAUCCUCUUGCAGAUUGCCAGGAGUCUCUGUGCUCAUUCACUCGAGACUUGCAGACUUUCUCUCAGAGAAGGCCCAUGAGCCAGCCACAGAAAUCACGGUGUAAGCAAGCAGAACAGAGAGCACAGGGUGAGCCCCUGUGCAGAGCUGUCCACGAACACCGUGUGUUAGCCAGGAACACAGCCUGGGAUGGUGAGUGCUGGACCAGUGCUUUAGUUACCAGAGCAUCCUUACAUCUCAAGGAAAAAUAUUUUUUUCCAAGGAAACCAAGAACGGAAAACCAAUGGGCUGAAAAGUUGCGCACUGGAGGUCUCAGUACUUUAGAACAAAGUUAAGGAAAAUGUGGAAACGUCUUUUCACAAUGGGACUUUGGUUUUCCUGAAGUGGCUUGCCAUAGCAUCAAGUCACUGUAAUUAAGACCUGGGUACCAUUUAUGUUAUAAUGCAAUCUCCUCUCCAUGCUAAAAAUCAAGACUGCCAGCCCAUUCCCAACAAAGCCAUUACACCCAGGCUGGCUGCUGCGGUGAUCAGCGCUACAUUUCCUUGCACCUUGCCCUAGCCCUUCCACCUGUUUGCUUACCUCCCCGCUCUCUUGGGGCCUUUACACAUUCAGCCCCGCAGUCGGCAUGUAAGCUGCAUCCCCUGCAGCUUCUGCCAUCUGAAACAGCCUGCCCACAGCUCUUUCCCCUACUGACUAAUUAGUUGGUGUUCAUACGGAGCCUCGGAGAUGUGAGAGCGUAACAU